rnacentral:rRNA from 1 species
GUGGGGAAUCUUCCGCAAUGGACGAAAGUCUGACGGAGCAACGCCGCGUGAGUGAAGAAGGUUUUCGGAUCGUAAAGCUCUUUCGUUAGGGACGAACGUGCUCUUUGUGAAUAAUGAGGAGUAAUGACGGUACCUAAAUAAGAAGCCACGGCUAACUACGUGCCAGCAGCCGCGGUAAUACGUAGGUGACAAGCGUUGUCCGGAAUUAUUGGGCGUAAAGCGCGCGCAGGCGGGAUAUCAAGUCUGUCUUAAAAGUGCGAGGCUCAACCUCGUGAGGGGACAGAAACUGGUAUUCUUGAGUGUCGGAGAGGAAAGUGGAAUUCCAAGUGUAGCGGUGAAAUGCGUAGAGAUUUGGAAGAACACCAGUGGCGAAGGCGACUUUCUGGACGAUGUCUGACGCUGAGGCGCGAAAGCUAGGGGAGCGAACGGGAUUAGAUACCCGUGUAGUCC